AAAGGAAAGGUCAAAGUUGUAAAUCCGAAAAGGGAAAGGUCAAAGUUGUAUUUCCUUAUAAAUUCUGGCAUCACGGACCAAACGGCCCUAAAAUCGCCAUCGUACGCCCCGAAAGCUCAAAGGAAAAAGUUUAUAGUAUAUGGAUAACAAAUCACCACCGUGCAAGGAGGUUGCUGACGAAUUGACUCGGGAGUCACUUAUCGCGAUCUCUUAUUUAGAACCGGAUAACCCUGCCAAUAUGAAUGUUCAACCUAAAAGCUGCAUUGUUGCAAAUGAUGAUGCAGUGACUGAUGGUGACAACACCGAGAAGUACAGGUCAGAGCUCAUGUCCAUCUCUGAAUUGCCGCCGCCUAAUACUUCACCUGUUGCUGUGGAUCCUUGAGGAUUAAGGGGGUUUCAAUUUCUUUGAAAGACCAUUUUGACUAAGUGACAAGCUUGCUUUGAUGUAGAACAAGUGGAAUGUCUUUUAAUGCUGCUUUCUUCUUCUGUGGAGCUGUCAAAUUCUACUGAAAAUAUGUGCAGUAUCGAACUCCAUGUACAAAAGUGAUGUAUGAUCAGUUUGAGAAAAUGCACAAAGAAAUUGGUUUGAGCUUUACUA